UACGGGGGGGGUAAGCGUUGUUCGGAAUUAUUGGGCGUAAAGAGCUCGUAGGCGGUUUGUCGCGUCUGCUGUGAAAACUCGGGGCUUAACCCCGGGCCUGCAGUGGGUACGGGCAGACUAGAGUGCGGUAGGGGAGACUGGAAUUCCUGGUGUAGCGGUGAAAUGCGCAGAUAUCAGGAGGAACACCGGUGGCGAAGGCGGGUCUCUGGGCCGUAACUGACGCUGAGGAGCGAAAGCGUGGGGAGCGAACAGG
rnacentral:rRNA from 1 species